ACCCUGGUACAUGACUGGUUUCUGUAGUUGAGAGUUGAUAAAAAUCUUUAGCCCCACGUCCUUGCAAAAGAAAAAUCAGGAGUGCCUGGGAGCCACAAUCAAGGAGUAGAAACCCAUUGUGCUCAUAGGAAAAGAGGGGGAAAGUAUUAUCUCAAUUUUACAGAGAGAGAGAGAGAAAUAAAUUAACCUGCUUAAGGUGGUCACACAGGAACCUGUGGCAGAGCAAGCAACUGAAUCCAUUUCUACUGAGCCUCAGCCCAGUGCAUGUACCCAGGACCAUCCAGGAGAUGAACAUAAUCCCCCACUUGAAGGAAUCUGAUUGGAAUGAAAAUUUUACUCUUCAGAUGGAAUUUCCAAAAGGGCUCGAGGGAGUUAGCAGUGCCAGUUUGCAGUACUUUAUUGCAAGUCUUGCCAUAUUUGGUGUUUCCUGGAUCCAUGUGGUUGCAGGAGAAUCUCAACUUUCAUAGACAUGGGUUUAACUCCUAAGAACCUGUGCUGGAGUCAUUUUGAGUUAGGAUCAUACAGAAUACGUAUAUAUUUGGGACUUGUAGGGACAUGAAUAAAUGUUGUGCUGUGUAGAAUGAAUUAUUAUUAAACAUCUUUCUACAGUGCCCUAAAUGUAUACUGUUUUUACAAACACAGAUAAAGUGAGUUCCCUGCCCUCAAGAGUUGAUGAUAUAAGCAGGACAAGUGAAACAAAAAGAUGAUAUUGGGUAACAAGAUAAGAGAGGUUGGGGGUUAUUGGUGAGGUGCAGUGGGUUUUCAGCAGGGAUUUGAAGCAGAAGCUGGAGGGCUAUUAGCAUAUGAGAACAGGGGGAAGGUUCAAGGCAUCGGGGCAGCAUGACACAAGGCACAAAGCUGAAAGGGAGGAGACAAAGCAGUAAGUCUUAAGGACAUCUGAUAAUCAUGAUGACCAUGGCCCUUUAGAAUCUCCUGUAACACUAAUCAUCUAGUUCUUAGCAGGAAGCCCUAAGAAACUCUGCUACCACUGAGCCUCAGUGCUUUAGAAGGAUGCUCUGUGAUGUACCAGUAUCCCUACCAGUGAUGAUCACAACCUAAGUUGGACAUACUGAGAACAAAUGUUACAACUCACAGACAACUGAUAGUCAUGGUACAUGCAUAAUUUUAGGGUUGGAUCCUGACCUUAGGUUCUCCCUAGAAGCAGUAGUAAUACAGUGCAACUAUGGAGCCACCCAGCAAUUACAUUAAUUUGGGGGUUGGAGCCUGGUCUCAGUUGUGCCACCUAGAAGCACAGCAAUGAUAUUAAAGCUGAGUUUGGAGUUAGGCCUCAUGGUCACUCUGCAGCAGCAGGAGGAACCCAGAGCUGUGUUUUGGGCCAGCAGUGAUGUCA